AUUGAACGCUGGCGGCAGGCCUAACACAUGCAAGUCGAGCGAGCGGCGGACGGGUGAGUAAUGUCUGGGAAACUGCCUGAUGGAGGGGGCUAACUACUGGAAACGGUAGCUAAUACCGCAUACCAUCAGAUGUGCCCAGAUGGGAUAAGCUAGUAGGUGGGGUACGGGCUCACCUAGGCGACGAUCCCUAGCUGGUCUGAGAGGAUGAACAGCGCCACUGGGACUGAGACACGGUCCAGACUCCUACGGGAGGCAGCAGUGGGGAAUAUUGCACAAUGGGCGCAAGCCUGAUACAGCCAUGCCGCGUGUGUGAAGAAGGCCUUCGGGUUGUAAAGCACUUUCAGCGGGGAGGCGUUACCCGCAGAAGAAGCACCGGCUAACUCCGUGCCAGCAGCCGCGGUAAUUC
rnacentral:rRNA from 1 species